AAUCAUACCUCAGAUAAUCAAGCCAUCAUACCUGGAUAUGGAGACGGGGCAAGCCAAGCUCAGUGCAUUGCUCAUCCUAUUGGUGAUUGCAUCUAGUCUUAUUGUAUCACAAGCUCAAGAAGGAGGCGCUUGUCUUCCAGAGACGUGCCCCCAAGGGUCUCGUGCCGUCUAUGUACACGGGAAAUGUAAAUGCGCCCCGCCUUGUACAUCAGCGCAGUGUCCUAUUGGGUCUCAAAAGGUCUACACGCACGGCAAAUGUUUCUGCGUUCCAUCAAAGAGCCAGUAUGUCUCGGCAAAUGGUGGUGUAGGAGGUUAUUGUAUUCCAGAGAUGUGUCCCGAGGGGUUUCAUCACAUCUAUGCACAUGGCAAAUGUAUAUGUGGUCGAUUGGAGCCCAAACAUUGAUUGGGGGUGUGUUGUGAGUGUGUCCGCGAGAUGGAGAGGAAGCUAGAAUAAAAGGGAAUAAGAGAGAGGUGGGUUGCAUGUGUAGGAGGUUUUUAUGAAUCAAAUUUUGCUCUUCUUAAAAUGGGUUGAUGCUAUUGAGUAUUCGACUUAUAUUUUUGGUGAUCUCGAAAACUUUCCAAACGGUCGAAAUCGAUGAUGGAUUUUGGGC